GAUGAACGCUGGCGACGUGGAUAAGGCAUGCAAGUCAAACGCCCCGAUUUAUCGGGGAGUGGCAGACGAGGUAGUAACACGUGGGUUACAUACCCCAAAGUCAGGAAUAACUAGUCGAAAGAUUAGCUAAUACUUGAUAGUCCCUUCGGGGUAAAGAUUUAUCGCUUUGGGAGCGGCCUGCGAAAUAUCAGCUUGUUGGUAGUGUAAUAGACUACCAAGGCUACGACGUUUAGGGGAGGUGAGAGCCUGACCCCCACCGAUGGAACUGAGAACGGUCCAUACACCUACGGGUGGCCGCAGUCGAGAAUAUUCCGCAAUGGACGAAAGUCUGACGGAGCGACGUCGCGUGGUAGAUGAAGUCCCUCGGGACGUAAAUACCUUUUAUAAGGGAAGAAUCCCGGUUCGCCGGGAGUGACGGUACCUUAUGAAUAAGGGGCUGCUAACUCUG
rnacentral:rRNA from 1 species